rnacentral:rRNA from 1 species
UUGAACGCUGGCGGCAGGCCUAACACAUGCAAGUCGAACGGUAACAGGAAGCAGCUUGCUGCUUUGCUGACGAGUGGCGGACGGGUGAGUAAUGUCUGGGAAACUGCCUGAUGGAGGGGGAUAACUACUGGAAACGGUAGCUAAUACCGCAUAACGUCGCAAGACCAAAGAGGGGGACCUUAGGGCCUCUUGCCAUCGGAUGUGCCCAGAUGGGAUUAGCUAGUAGGUGGGGUAACGGCUCACCUAGGCGACGAUCCCUAGCUGGUCUGAGAGGAUGACCAGCCACACUGGAACUGAGACACGGUCCAGACUCCUACGGGAGGCAGCAGUGGGGAAUAUUGCACAAUGGGCGCAAGCCUGAUGCAGCCAUGCCGCGUGUAUGAAGAAGGCCUUCGGGUUGUAAAGUACUUUCAGCGGGGAGGAAGGGAGUAAAGUUAAUACCUUUGCUCAUUGGCGUUACCCGCAGAAGAAGCACCGGCUAACUCCGUG